rnacentral:rRNA from 1 species
GGCGUAAGGGCUCGCAGGCGGUUUCUUAAGUCUGAUGUGAAAGCCCCCGGCUCAACCGGGGAGGGUCAUUGGAAACUGGGGAACUUGAGUGCAGAAGAGGAGAGUGGAAUUCCACGUGUAGCGGUGAAAUGCGUAGAGAUGUGGAGGAACACCAGUGGCGAAGGCGACUCUCUGGUCUGUAACUGACGCUGAGGAGCGAAAGCGUGGGGAGCGAACAGGAUUAGAUACCCUGGUAGUCCACGCCGUAAACGAUGAGUGCUAAGUGUUAGGGGGUUUCCGCCCCUUAGUGCUGCAGCUAACGCAUUAAGCACUCCGCCUGGGGAGUACGGUCGCAAGACUGAAACUCAAAGGAAUUGACGGGGGCCCGCACAAGCGGUGGAGCAUGUGGUUUAAUUCGAAGCAACGCGAAGAACCUUACCAGGUCUUGACAUCCUCUGACAAUCCUAGAGAUAGGACGUCCCCUUCGGGGGCAGAGUGACAGGUGGUGCAUGGUUGUCGUCAGCUCGUGUCGUGAGAUGUUGGGUUAAGUCCCGCAACGAGCGCAACCCUUGAUCUUAGUUGCCAGCAUUCAGUUGGGCACUCUAAGGUGACUGCCGGUGACAAACCGGAGGAAGGUGGGGAUGACGUCAAAUCAUCAUGCCCCUUAUGACCUGGGCUACACACGUGCUACAAUGGACAGAACAAAGGGCAGCGAAACCGCGAGGUUAAGCCAAUCCCACAAAUCUGUUCUCAGUUCGGAUCGCAGUCUGCAACUCGACUGCGUGAAGCUGGAAUCGCUAGUAAUCG